CCUGGUUCUAUGGCACUGGCUGGACAUUAGGACCCUGUGACCACACAGCUGGUGGAGCUGUAUUCCCCCAGUUCGAAAACACUGGCUGGACAGUAGGUUCUGUUGGACUCUGUUUUCAACGUUGAAGGGAAAGUUGGACACAGUGCCCAGGAAAGUUGUCGGGCAAUCUCAUUUUUCCAGCUUGCAGGCGGAGCAGUUGCCAUACCAAGCUGUGAUGCAUCUGGAUAGAACAACGGUGUGCUGCAGACAGAACUGUUAUUCAAAGAGUGGGCCUUUGGUUCACAGGAGAAUCACAUCAAGAAGGUACAGAAGCUUGAGGGCACGUACCUCCAGGCUCAAGGACAGCUUCUAUCCCACAGUGAUAAGACUACUGAAUGGUUCCCGUAUACGAUGAGAUGGACUAUGACCUCACGAUCUACCUUGUUGUGACCUUGCACCUUAUUGCACUGCACUUUCUCUAUAGCUGUGACACUUUACUCUGUACUGUUAUUGUUUUUACCUGUACUACCUCAAUGCACUCUGUACUAACUCAAUGUAACUGCACUGUGUAAUGAAUUGACCUGUAUGAUCGGUUUGUAAGACAAGUUUUUCACUGUACCUCGGCACAAGUGACAAUAAUA